rnacentral:rRNA from 1 species
GUCUACAGCCAUGCUUCCCUGAAUAAGCCCUAUCCCGUCUGACCUUGGAAGCUAACCAGGGUCAGGCCCGGUAAGUACUUGGAUGGGAGACCAUUGAGGAAAACCGGGUUCUGUAGGCA